CCUUGUAAACCAACAAAGACAGUGCAGAGCAUCCUCCAUUUUGUAUCCUUGCGGAGGCCAUUUCAGGUUUAACCAGAGUUUCAUCUACUUGAUGGAGAAUCCCUCCCUGUAGCAGUUCUGGAACUACAGCCACAUGCCAGUAUGCACAGUUUAACGUGGGCUCUGGAGAUUUGAGCUCAAAUUUCCAUGCUUGCACUGGACUCUCCCCAGCCUGGACUUCGAAUGUCAGCUGGAAGGCUCUCAGAGCUUGGAGAUUUGACGUCCAUGGCCAGGUGCUGGUGAAAGAAUGAAGGGUGGGCCACCACCACCAUCAUCACCAUCACCACCGACAUCAUCUUCAUCAUUAUCACCGUCCUCAAUCGUAGUCUUCAUCCUCUGGAGGUUGAGGAAAAGACCUCCUGUCUCUUACAUGUGGCAUGAUUGCCUUUCCUGCUGACUGAUGCUCGAGAAACUUCAACAUGCCUGACAGCCCCACACUGCCAACAGACGUCUUCCCAAAGACAUCUCAAACAGC
ensembl:lncRNA